rnacentral:rRNA from 1 species
GGUUUUUUGAGUUAUAAUGAAAAAUCUGACCUGCCCAAUGAGAUUUAAAUGGCCGCGAUAUUUUAAUCGUGCUAAGGUAGCAUAAUCAAUUGCCUGUUAAUUGCAGGCUGGAAUGAACGGUUGAACUUAAAAUCAGUUGUCUUUAUAAUAAAUUGAACUUUUCUUUUUUGUGAGGAGACAAAAAUGAUAUAAGAAGACGAGAAGACCCUAUUAAGUUUUACAUCAAUAAUAUUAAAAUAUGUAGUGAGAAUAAUAAAAAGGAUGUUUCACUGGGGCGGUUAGUAAUAAAAGAAACAUUUUUAAACGAAAAAACUGAUAGGUGGUAUUGAUCCAAUAAUAUUGAGUUAAAGGCUAAAUUACUAUAGGGAUAACAGCGUAAUUUUGUUUAGAAGUUCAAAUUUAUGACAAAGUUUGCGACCUCGAUGUUGGUUUAAGGGACCUAUUUAGUGCAAAAAUUAAAAAAGGAGGUUUGUUCAACCAUUAAAUCCUUAUA